GAAGUGACGCCAAGCCUGCGACACCAGCUCCGGCCGCUACGGAAGUGGGGUUCUGUUGCUGCAGAGACGGCCGGCUGUCGCUGAUGGUUGCAGCGCGAGGACCAUGACGGGGAAGAAGUCUUCCCGGGAGAAGAGGCGCAAGCGGAGUGGGCAGGAGGCAGCCGCGGCGCUCGCGGCCCCGGACCUGGUGCCCGUGCUGAGCGGGAGCGCGGGUGGGUGCGGGAGCGUUGGCUGCUGCGGGGUCGCUGGCGGCGGGACGAGUGUGGCGGGCGGCGCGGAACGAAGUGAGCGCCGAAAGCGGAGGAGCACCGAUUCGUCCUCCAGCGUCUCGGGCUCCCUGCAGCAGGUGCGUGCCUCGCCUCGCGCCGCCUCCCGGAGCUGUGGCCCCUCAGAAGAGCCGGGCUGCAGAGCCGCGCGGGCGCGGGCAGAAGCUCAUUGUUAGUGCCGGGGUCCCUUGGGCCGCCGGAACGCUUCUGAAUCCGUUUGAACCUGUCCCCAUGUAUUGAACUUACACGUUUCUGGAUUUACUGAUCAGUACCCCUUCCCCAUUAAACUUUCGCGGUUUCUUUU
rnacentral:lncRNA from 1 species